UCCUGGCUCAGGACGAACGCUGGCGGCGUGCCUAAUACAUGCAAGUCGAACGCUUCUUUUUCCACCGGAGCUUGCUCCACCGGAAAAAGAGGAGUGGCGAACGGGUGAGUAACACGUGGGUAACCUGCCCAUCAGAAGGGGAUAACACUUGGAAACAGGUGCUAAUACCGUAUAACAAUCRAAACCGCAUGGUUUUGAUUUGAAAGGCGCUUUCGGGUGUCGCUGAUGGAUGGACCCGCGGUGCAUUAGCUAGUUGGUGAGGUAACGGCUCACCAAGGCCACGAUGCAUAGCCGACCUGAGAGGGUGAUCGGCCACAUUGGGACUGAGACACGGCCCAAACUCCUACGGGAGGCAGCAGUAGGGAAUCUUCGGCAAUGGACGAAAGUCUGACCGAGCAACGCCGCGUGAGUGAAGAAGGUUUUCGGAUCGUAAAACUCUGUUGUUAGAGAAGAACAAGGAUGAGAGUAACUGUUCAUCCCUUGACGGUAUCUAACCAGAAAGCCACGGCUAACUACGUGCCAGCAGCCGCGGUAAUACGUAGGUGGCAAGCGUUGUCCGGAUUUAUUGGGCGUAAAGCGAGCGCAGGCGGUUUCUUAAGUCUGAUGUGAAAGCCCCCGGCUCAACCGGGGAGGGUCAUUGGAAACUGGGAGACUUGAGUGCAGAAGAGGAGAGUGGAAUUCCAUGUGUAGCGGUGAAAUGCGUAGAUAUAUGGAGGAACACCAGUGGCGAAGGCGGCUCUCUGGUCUGUAACUGACGCUGAGGCUCGAAAGCGUGGGGAGCAAACAGGAUUAGAUAC
rnacentral:rRNA from 1 species